rnacentral:lncRNA from 1 species
GCCUGGGACUCCACGCUGCACACCGUGCCUUCACAUUGGCCUCUCGUCCUCAGCCCAUCUAGCCCCCAAAGGGUCCCAUGAGGACCCCCCAGGUGUCCAUGGCUGUUCUACCCCUGAACCUUGACCCUUGAUCGUGACCCCAGUCCAGGCGAAGCAGAACUCGAGCAGAAUGAGUUGUCUGUGGCUGGGACGGGAGAUGCCUGUGGCUCCCUGCUAUGCCUCCCUCCUGUGCCCCUACACCCGGCCUUGCCUGGCUCAGGACAGGGUGGCCAUCCCCACUGUCCCGAGGAUGCAGCCCCCACCCCAGCUCCACUCGCUCUGUGGGCAGAGCCAGGUUUGGGGCCGACACGCGCUUUCUCUCUCCCGUCAGCUGCCUGCCCUGGGGUGAGUGGUAAGUGGUGACCGCAGGCGGCUCUGCCUGCCAAGUGGGUCACGAAGCCCCGAGUGUGUCCUUGCCCCCAGCCACGGCCGGCCCCUGUGCCGCUGCCCACCCUGUGUCUGCACCCAGCCUGUGUGUCUCCUGUUGCCCAGCCUUCCCCGCUGUGGGGGCCCCAGCCUCCUGUCGUAGGGUCCCUAGCCUCCUGUCGUAGGGAUCCCAGCCCUGAGCCCGCUGUGUCUAGAUCCCUGGGUACUGUUUCUUGGGGUUGUGUGUGGGGAGAUGGACUCUGUCCUGUGGUCGAGGGACGCCGCGUGCCACC